GACGAACGCUGGCGGCGUGCUUAACACAUGCAAGUCGAACGGAAAGGCCCUGCAUUUGUGGGGUGCUCGAGUGGCGAACGGGUGCGUAACACGUGAGUAACCUGCCCUCGACUUUGGGAUAACUUCAGGAAACUGGGGAUAAUAGCGGAAAGGAGCUCCUGCUGCAUGGUGGGGGUCGGAAAGUUUGGGCGGUUGGGGAUGGACUCGCGGCUUAUCAGCUUGUUGGUGGGGUAGUGGCUUACCAAGGCUUUGACGGGUAGCCGGCCUGAGAGGGUGACCGGCCACAUUGGCACUGAGCUACGGCCCAGACUCCUGCGGGAGACAGCAGUAGGGAAUAUUGCACGAUGGGCGGAAGCCUGAUGCAGCAACGCCGCGUGCGGGAUGACGGCCUUCGGGUUGUAAACCGCAUUCGCCUGUGACGGAGCGUGUGUGACGGUAAUGUGUAAAUAAGCACCGGCUAACUACGUG
rnacentral:rRNA from 1 species